UACGUAGGUGGCAAGCGUUGUCCGGAUUUACUGGGCGUAAAGAGCGCGCAGGCGGUCGUUCAAGUCGCGUGUGAAAGCCCCCGGCUCAACUGGGGAGGGUCACGCGAUACUGAUCGACUCGAAGGCAGGAGAGGGUAGUGGAAUUCCCGGUGUAGUGGUGUAAAUGCGUAGAUAUCGGGGAGGAACACCAGUGGCGAAGGCGACUUCCUGGACCAGUACCGACGUCAGGCACGAA
rnacentral:rRNA from 1 species